CACAUCAUGAUCACUGAAGUUAAGCAACAUUAAGCCUGGUCAGUACCCAGAUGGGUGACUGCCUGGGAAUACAAGGUGUUAUA